rnacentral:rRNA from 1 species
CCCUUAGAUGUUCUGGGCCGCACGCGCGCUACAAUGGUCUUCGCAAACGGAUGCAUUCUCGAAGGAGAAUGCCAAUCUUGGAAUCUAUGCCUUGGUCGGGACAGUUGCUUGCAAUUUUUCGACUCGAACCAGGAAUUCCUUGUAAUCGUGAUUCAUCACAUCACGAUGAAUACGUCCCUGCCCUUUGUACACACCGCCCGUCGCUCCUACCGAUCGAAGAGUUAGGUGAAUUGUUUUGAUCGAUAAGAUUUGACUAUGGUCAACUCUCGUUGUGAAAUUCUGUGAAUCUGACUGUUUAGAGGAAGGAAAGGUCGUAACA